rnacentral:rRNA from 1 species
GACGAACGCUGGCGGCGUGCUUAACACAUGCAAGUCGAACGGUGAAGGGGUCUGCUUUUGUGGGCCCUGGAUGAGUGGCGAACGGGUGAGUAACACGUGAGUAACCUGCCCCCUUCUUCUGGAUAACCGCAUGAAAGUGUGGCUAAUACGGGAUAUUCUGGGUCUGUCGCAUGAUGGGUCUGGGAAAGAUUGCGCCUUUGGGUGUUUUUGGUGGGGGAUGGGCUCGCGGCCUAUCAGCUUGUUGGUGGGGUGAUGGCCUACCAAGGCGGUGACGGGUAGCCGGCCUGGGAGGGUGGACGGUCACACUGGGACUGAGACACGGCCCAGACGCCUACGGGAGGCAGCAGUGGGGAAUAUUGCACAAUGGGCGCAAGCCUGAUGCAGCGACGCCGCGUGAGGGAUGGAGGCCUUCGGGGUGUAAACCUCUUUCGCCAGUGAAGCAGGCCUGCUCCUUGUGGGUGGGUUGACGGUAGCUGGAUAAGAAGCGCCGGCUAACUACGUG